AACUAAUCCAGCUCACGAUUGAUUGAUUGUCAAAUGUGAAUCGCAUUUUUACUGGUAACCUAAAAAUUCACGUUAUUAUUAAAUUUAAUCGAAUAAAGUGAAUUAUAUAAAAUGCGUCGUAUCCAAGGAUCAGGUUCAUUCCCGACAAGGGAUCCAGACGAUGAAAAGAAGAAAGCUCGCCAAUCUGUGAUAUCCAACUUGGUGGUGUUCACUGUGCUCAUCUGCGUAAUCAAAACAGUUCCAUUUCUAGUUAGGAGUUCUUGAUGAGAAGAUACUUUAAUGUAUAGUUUUCUUUUGUUCUAAAUGCAUACCUGAUGGGUCCUACAUGUGAUUAUAUUACUUCCCAGGGUGGUGAAUUACUACAAUGUAUAUUAUAUAAAACGAUUUUGUACAAUAUGUAAUAAAUUAAUGAAAUAAUUACAUAACGAA